AUUGAACGCUGGCGGCAGGCCUAACACAUGCAAGUCGAACGGUAACAGGAAACAGCUUGCUGUUUCGCUGACGAGUGGCGGACGGGUGAGUAAUGUCUGGGAAACUGCCUGAUGGAGGGGGAUAACUACUGGAAACGGUAGCUACUACCGCAUAACGUCGCAAGACCAAAGAGGGGGACCUUCGGGCCUCUUGCCAUCGGAUGUGCCCAGGUGGGAUUAGCUAGUAGGUGGGGUAACGGCUCACCUAGGCGACGAUCCCUAGCUGGUCUGAGAGGAUGACCAGCCACACUGGAACUGAGACACGGUCCAGACUCCUACGGGAGGCAGCAGUGGGGAAUAUUGCACAAUGGGCGCAAGCCUGAUGCAGCCAUGCCGCGUGUAUGAAGAAGGCCUUCGGGUUGUAAAGUACUUUCAGCGGGGAGGAAGGGAAUAAAGUUAAUACCUUUACUCAUUGACGUUACCCGCAGAAGAAGCACCGGCUAACUCCGUG
rnacentral:rRNA from 1 species